rnacentral:rRNA from 1 species
UNGNCUGUUUAUCAAAAACAUAACUGCAGGUUCCUGUCUGCAGCGAUUUCUGCUCCAUGUGUAAAUAAAUAGCCGCAGUACCCUGACUGUGCUAAGGUAGCAUAAUCAAUAGGCUUAUAAUUUGAGUCUGGUAUGAAGGAAGAUUUGGGGGUUAACUGUCUCGGGGGGCGUUGAUUGAAUUUGCUCAAAAAGUGCAAAAACUUUUACAUUAAUAUUAGACGAGAAGACCCUGGAAAUUUUUUGCUAUAUUUUGUUGGGGCGACAGGGUAACAAGCAACUUACCUUUUGGUAGGAAGCAAUUUAUGCGGGAUAACUAAAUUACUCCAGGGAUAACAGCAUAAUUUUUAAAAGUUUGUGACCUCGAUGUUGGACUAGGUACCUUUGCGUCCAGAAGAACCAAUUGGUUGCUCUGUUCGAGCAUAUAACACCUACCUGAUCUGGAUUCAGACCGGA